rnacentral:pre_miRNA from 1 species
AUAGGCGUGAACAAGGUGGGCAAUGAACAAUUUCUAUUCUCCAUUGCCCACCUUGUUCACGUCCUAU